rnacentral:lncRNA from 1 species
UGAAUAAUAAUACACGCAAGCGCUCGCUGAAUCAAAUCUGUUUGUCUUUAAGGUGCCACAAUUCAUGGUUAAUUAGUUGAUUGACUGAUUGACUGAUUGAUUGGUUUCCUCAAGAGUUGGCUGCAGGGGCCUGGGGGGCAGAGAGAAGCCUUCUCUUCAUGGGGGCGCAGAGCGCAUUCUCCCUAGAAAGGGCCUCCUCCCUUCGCGUCCAGGUCGCAAACCGGGGACAUGAGGGGUCGGGGCGCUCUCUCUGUUCUGGCGCGGGAGAGGGUCCGGGACCAGCAGUUUCACGUCCCGGGGGUCCCGCCCAGAACACGGAGGCGUCCCUCCCUUUGGGGGCACCGACGGGAACAAGGGAUUUCGGUAAAGCCGACGGGGCUUGCGCCCUCCGGGUGGGUCGGUGGGUCUCCGGCGAGAGCCCAGGGGAGCCCAGGGCGGAAAGAACCUGAGGCCUGAUUUCCCCCCAGCCCCCCCCCAAGCCAGGGGAGGGGAGGGGAGGGGGAGGGCUGGGCUCCACCUCGGGCACCCAGGCGCGCGCCUUGCCCUGGGCCCGAUUCCUGCCACCGCGAGCCGGCUUGGAGAGGAGCGAGGACCACCCCGCCGCCGCCGCCGCCGCCUCGGCCUCGCUUCCCUCGGGCCCCGGGGCCAACGGGCCAGCUGAUGCCUAGCUGAUGGCCGGCCAGCUCGCGCGGCGUCGGGGGUUGCAUCCUGACCCGGAGAGGCCAGGGGAGAAGGUUCCGCCGCAGCCGCUGGGGCCGCCGCCCCCCCCCGGGGGGCUCUUCCCUCCGCGGGGCCCGGAGAGCCGCGGGCACCUGGAAUUCCGCGGCCCGGGUGGUCCCCCCUCUCGCCUCUCCACCGGGCAGCAUCGCGGGGCUGGUCACGGCGGGGCAGGAUGUCACUCCUGGAGGCGGUUGCCUAGCAACCCUCUCCGGCCGAUGCAGAGGCGAUCAGCUGGCGAGGAACGAUGGAGGUGGGGCCGGCGAGUCGGGAAGCCCCCGGUUCGCGCCGAGGACGCGUCGCCAGGCGGAGGGGCCCGCGGGAGCCCCCGGCCGGGGCUGGGGCUAAGCGUGCUCAGAGACACGGCGAGGGGAGGAGGGUGCCACUGA